rnacentral:rRNA from 1 species
UACAGAGGGGGGCAAGCGUUAUUCGGAAUUUAUUGGGCGUAAAGGGCGCGUAGGCGGCUAGGCAAGUCAGGUGUGAAAGCCCCGAGCUUAACUCGGGAAUUGCAUCUGAAACUGCUGUGCUUGAGUUCUGGAGGGGGUAGUGGAAUUCCCAGUGUAGCGGUGAAAUGCGUAGAUAUUGGGAGGAACACCUGCGGCGAAGGCGGCUACCUGGACAGAAACUGACGCUGAGGCGGCGAAAAGCUAGGGGAGC